CUCCGAGCCCGGCUCUGUCCCCCAGCCCAGGGAAAUCAGCCCACUCCCGUACAGGGCAGCCAGCUCGUGAGGAGACAGGAACGGAGCUAUUGAGACACAUGGAGGGAAAGAGCCCAUCAUGAGGGCAGGGGCAGGAGCAGGCACCACAGGGGACGGACACAAAGCUUGUAGGGUGUCACCAGUCGGGUAGCCAGGGCCAGAUCUUGACUUCAGUGGGUGUGGGGGGUUCUCAGUAUUAGACACCCCCAUGACCGUAAGGGUCACAUGAUUACGGUGAUGGCUGAAACAAAUCCCCCUUCUGGUACUAACCCGCCUGGCAUGGACCCUGCGAUUCCAUUGGGCUGCGGAUGCCAGGAGGAGCCUGGCCAGUGUGCACCCAGAAGGAAACAGGCACUGAAAGCGGAAGGCCAAACCUCCCCAAUGGGUGUGUCUUUCUCCCCCAGGGCUCAACACCAGCGAGGCCCCAGACUUGUGGUGCCGGGACGGGCUCCAUGACCCCGAGCGCCUGGGGUAUAGAAACCUGGCCAGGGUGGGAGAGGCCUUUGGCGAGCUGUUCACAGAGGAGCAGAAAAGAUCUUUCCUCCAGGAGGGCCUGCUGGCCAUUCACCACCCCCUCCUCCGCGUCAGCCAGGCUGGCCUGGUGCUGACGUAUUCCAUCCUGGGGGAAGCCGGCCAGCUGCUAGAGGACGAGGAGGACAUCGCAGCCUACAUAAAGAUCCAGCUGUUUAACAUCAGGGUCUUGGGCCAGGUGCCCGACGCCCUGCAGGGGCUGUGCUCCUUGGGGCAGCACUGAAGACCCCCACCCCUCGCAUGACCAGCUCGGACCCCCUGCCGCAGCCUCGCUCCAGGCCCUCCACCCACCCGCUCCAGCCCUGCCACCUCCUUCUCCUUCUGAUCUUCCCCAACCCCUUCAAUUUUGACUGCAUGGCUUCGAUCUUUGCAUGGAUAUGGACUUUGCCUCGUAUUUCUGACCACCCGGCUUCGACCUCCGGCCUGGACAUGGACACUGGCUCCCGUUCUGCCUGCAAACACUCAACACCUGGCAGCAGUAGACAGGCCCCACCAUUAAUCAAACCCUAACCCCGCCCCAUGACCCCUUAGUCCCUCCCACCUGUCUCCGGAAGUC